rnacentral:snRNA from 1 species
GUUCCCUUUGGCAGAACAUAUACUAAAAUUGGAAUGAUAGAGAUUAUCAUGGCCCCAGAGCAAGGAUGACAUGUAAAUUCAUGAAGUGUUCAAUUUUAUU